UUAGAGUUUGAUCCUGGCUCAAGAGGAACGCUGGCGGCGCGCCUAACACAUGCAAGUCAAACGAGCGAGAGAGAGCUUGCUUUCUCGAGCGAGUGGCGAACGGGUGAGUAACGCGUGAGGAACCUGCCUCAAAGAGGGGGACAACAGUUGGAAACGACUGCUAAUACCGCAUAAGCCCACGGGUCGGCACCGACCAGAGGGAAAAGGAGCAAUCCGCUUUGAGAUGGCCUCGCGUCCGAUUAGCUAGUUGGUGAGGUAAUGGCCCACCAAGGCAACGAUCGGUAGCCGGACUGAGAGGUUGAACGGCCACAUUGGGACUGAGACACGGCCCAGACUCCUACGGGAGGCAGCAGUGGGGAAUAUUGCACAAUGGGGGAAACCCUGAUGCAGCGACGCCGCGUGGAGGAAGAAGGUCUUCGGAUUGUAAACUCCUGUUGUUGGGGAAGAUAAUGACGGUACCCAACAAGGAAGUGACGGCUAACUACGUGCCAGCAGCCGCGGUAAAACGUAGGUCACAAGCGUUGUCCGGAACUACUGGGUGUAAAGGGAGCGCAGCCGGGAAGACAAGUUGGAAGUGAAAUCUAUGGGCUCAACCCAUAAACUGCUUUCAAAACUGUUUUUCUUGAGUAGUGCAGAGGUAGGCGGAAUUCCCGGUGUAGCGGUGGAAUGCGUAGAUAUCGGGAGGAACACCAGUGGCGAAGGCGGCCUACUGGGCACCAACUGACGCUGAGGCUCGAAAGUGUGGGUAGCAAACAGGAUUAGAUACCCUGGUAGUCCACACCGUAAACGAUGAUUACUAGGUGUUAGAGGAUUGACCCCUUCAGUGCCGCAGUUAACACAAUAAGUAAUCCACCUGGGGAGUACGACCGCAAGGUUGAAACUCAAAGGAAUUGACGGGGGCCCGCACAAGCAGUGGAGUAUGUGGUUUAAUUCGACGCAACGCGAAGAACCUUACCAAGUCUUGACAUCCCUUGACAGACAUAGAAAUAUGUAAUCUCUUCAGAGCAAGGAGACAGGUGGUGCAUGGUUGUCGUCAGCUCGUGUCGUGAGAUGUUGGGUUAAGUCCCGCAACGAGCGCAACCCUUAUGGUCAGUUAGUACGCAAGAGGACUCUGGCCAGACUGCCGUUGACAAAACGGAGGAAGGUGGGGAUGACGUCAAAUCAUCAUGCCCUUUAUGACUUGGGCUACACACGUACUACAAUGGCGUUAAACAAAGAGAAGCAAGACCGCGAGGUGGAGCAAAACUCAGAAACAACGUCCCAGUUCGGACUGCAGGCUGCAACUCGCCUGCACGAAGUCGGAAUUGCUAGUAAUCGUGGAUCAGCAUGCCACGGUGAAUACGUUCCCGGGCCGUGUACA
rnacentral:rRNA from 1 species